GUAUCCUCUUCGGCGUUACGUAUACUGAAACUGAAACGAAACAAGGAAUAUUAGUAUGGCCCCGCGCAAGAAUGAGACGCAAAAUCCUGAAGGCGUUCCAUAUUUUU
rnacentral:snRNA from 1 species